UACGGGGGGAGCAAGCGUUGUUCGGAUUUACUGGGCGUAAAGGGCGCGUAGGCGGCGCAACAAGUCACUUGUGAAAUCUCCGGGCUUAACCCGGAGCGGCCAAGUGAUACUGUCGUGCUAGAGUGCGGAAGGGGCUACUGGAAUUCCCGGUGUAGCGGUGGAAAUGCCGUAGAGAUCGGGAAGAACAUCAGUGGCGAAGGCGGCCUGCUGGGCUGUUGCUGACGCUGAGGCGCGACAGCGUGGGGAGCAAACAGG
rnacentral:rRNA from 1 species